rnacentral:tRNA from 1 species
GCGAGUGUAGCUCAAUGGUAGAGCGCCAGCUUCCCAAGCUGGACACGCGGGUUCGAUUCCCGUCACUCGCU